UACGGGAGGCAGCAGUGGGGAAUAUUGCACAAUGGGCGAAAGCCUGAUGCAGCGACGCCGCGUGAGCGAAGAAGUAUUUCGGUAUGUAAAGCUCUAUCAGCAGGGAAGAAAAAUGACGGUACCUGACUAAGAAGCACCGGCUAAAUACGUGCCAGCAGCCGCGGUAAU
rnacentral:rRNA from 1 species